GAUGAACGCUGGCGGCGUGCCUAAUACAUGCAAGUCGAGCGAACGGACGAGAAGCUUGCUUCUCUGAUGUUAGCGGCGGACGGGUGAGUAACACGUGGAUAACCUACCUAUAAGACUGGGAUAACUUCGGGAAACCGGAGCUACUACCGGAUAAUAUUUUGAACCGCAUGGUUCAAAAGUGCAUGACGGUCUUGCUGUCACUUAUAGAUGGAUCCGCGCUGCAUUAGCUAGUUGGUAAGGUAACGGCUUACCAAGGCAACGAUGCAUAGCCGACCUGAGAGGGUGAUCAGCCACACUGGAACUGAGACACGGUCCAGACUCCUACGGGAGGCAGCAGUAGGGAAUCUUCCGCAAUGGGCGAAAGCCUGACGGAGCAACGCCGCGUGAGUGAUGAAGGUCUUCGGAUCGUAAAACUCUGUUAUUAGGGAAGAACAUAUGUGUAAGUAACUGUGCACAUCUUGACGGUACCUAAUCAGAAAGCCCCGGCUAACUACGUG
rnacentral:rRNA from 1 species